rnacentral:rRNA from 1 species
GUUUUUGGGUGGGGGGUUGAUCGGCCUACCAAGGCGACGACGGGUAGCCGGCCUGAGAGGGCGACCGGCCACACUGGGACUGAGACACGGCCCAGACUCCUACGGGAGGCAGCAGUGGGGAAUAUUGCACAAUGGGCGGAAGCCUGAUGCAGCGACGCCGCGUGAGGGAUGACGGCCUUCGGGUUGUAAACCUCUUUCAGCAGGGACGAAGCCGUGAGGUGACGGUACCUGCAGAAGAAGCGCCGGCCAACUACGUGCCAGCAGCCGCGGUAAGACGUAGGGCGCGAGCGUUGUCCGGAUUUAUUGGGCGUAAAGAGCUCGUAGGCGGCUUGUCGCGUCGACUGUGAAAACCCGCGGCUCAACCGCGGGCCUGCAGCCGAUACGGGCAGGCUAGAGUUCGGUAGGGGAGACUGGAAUUCCUGGUGUAGCGGUGAAAUGCGCAGAUAUCAGGAGGAACACCGGUGGCGAAGGCGGGUCUCUGGGCCGAUACUGACGCUGAGGAGCGAAAGCGUGGGGAGCGAACAGGAUUAGAUACCCUGGUAGUCCACGCUGUAAACGUUGGGCGCUAGGUGUGGGGGGCCUCUCCGGUUUCCUGUGCCGCAGCUAACGCAUUAAGCGCCCCGCCUGGGGAGUACGG